GAUGAAGAACGCAGCGAAAUGCGAUAAGUAGUGUGAAAUGCAGAAUUCAGUGAAUCAUCGAAUCUUUGAACGCACAUUGCGCCCGCUGGUAUUCCGGCGGGCAUGCCUGUUCGAGCGUCAUUUCAACCCUCAAGCCCCCGGGUUUGGUGUUGGGGAUCGGCUCUGCCCUUCUGGGCGGUGCCGCCCCCGAAAUACAUUGGCGGUCUCGCUGCAGCCUCCAUUGCGUAGUAGCUAACACCUCGCAACUGGAACGCGGCGCGGCCAUGCCGUAAAACCCCAACUUCUGAAUGUUGACCUCGGAUCAGGUAGGAAUACCCGCUGAACUUAAGCAUAUCAAUAAGCGGAGGA
rnacentral:misc_RNA from 1 species